GUGGGGAAUAUUGCACAAUGGGCGCAAGCCUGAUGCAGCAACGCCGCGUGAGGGAUGACGGCCUUCGGGUUGUAAACCUCUUUUAGUAGGGAAGAAGCGAAAGUGACGGUACCUGCAGAAAAAGCACCGGCUAACUACGUGCCAGCAGCCGCGGUAAUACGUAGGGUGCAAGCGUUGUCCGGAAUUAUUGGGCGUAAAGAGCUCGUAGGCGGCUUGUCGCGUCUGCUGUGAAAUCCCGGGGCUCAACCCCGGGCCUGCAGUGGGUACGGACAGGCUAGAGUGCGGUAGGGGAGAUUGGAAUUCCUGGUGUAGCGGUGGAAUGCGCAGAUAUCAGGAGGAACACCGAUGGCGAAGGCAGAUCUCUGGGCCGCUACUGACGCUGAGGAGCGAAAGCAUGGGGAGCGAACAGGAUUAGAAACCCUAGUAGUCC
rnacentral:rRNA from 1 species